rnacentral:rRNA from 1 species
AGCUCCAAGAAUACGUGGAGGAGGUGGCCCGGGUUGGCGUCGGCGUUGUCCGGCGCGAGCCACGGGCCCACUUCCAAGUGCGUCUGCGCGCCGGCCACCCACGCCGGGUCCUUCAAGUGCCGCUUCCACCGCACCAACUCCCAGGGCCACGGCCACGGCCAGGGCCAGGGAAGCCGCCCUUCUUCGCCCCCUUCACCGGCCGCGGCCAACGCGGUGCCGCGGCACCCGGCCUCGCUGUCCUCGUCCUCUGGCACCGUCGCGACCCAGUGGCGCACACUGCCCAAGCAUCGGCCUCGAGAAUCAAGAACGCUCGACAACGGAGAGGGAAUGGAAGAUCAUAUACAUGUCAUAAGAAAGGGAGUUUAUUUACUGCUACCUCGAUGUGUGAUUAUCAUCCGUGAGUUAAGGUAA